GAAAUGCGAUAAGUAAUGUGAAUUGCAGAAUUCAGUGAAUCAUCGAAUCUUUGAACGCACAUUGCGCCCGCCAGUAUUCUGGCGGGCAUGCCUGUUCGAGCGUCAUUUCAACCAUCAAGCCCCCGGGCUUGUGUUGGGGACCUGCGGCUGCCGCAGCCCCCGAAAACCAGUGGCGGGCUCGCUGUCACACCGGGCGUAGUAGAUUUUUCGUCUCGCCCAGGGCGUGCUGCGGGUUCCGGCCGUUAAAAAGCCUCUCUUUUAACCCAAGGUUGACCUCGGAUCAGGUAGGAAGACCCGCUGAACUUAAGC
rnacentral:misc_RNA from 1 species